GCCUCUAGUUCUGGCUGCACAGACCUGACUAGCCUGGCCUGGCCGCAGUAGCUGGCCCUGAGUAGUGACCCGCUCGCCCGCUGCCCUCGGAAGCCUCACUUGGCUGACAAACAGGAAGGUGGCAGGGCUGCCUGCGUGCCCUUGCCGCCCCCACAGCCCUGUGUCUGGCCCCAACCCUCAUCUCUACUCGCGGCUGCGGUGAACUUGGAUGGUGCUACUCUCACCACAAACCACAGUCCGUCACAAAUUGCCGUGUGCCUUCUGUCUUGGAUGGCAGCUCUUCUCUAUGGGAUGAAGGAACCCUCCUCGGCCCAGCACUGAAGGUCUUCUACCGUCUGGUCUCAGCUCACCUUUGCAUCGGCUCCCACCGCCAGCCAAGCUGGAUGCCCUCCCACCCCAUGCCUCAAGCACACCCUGCUUCUAGGUCCUUACUCACAGGGCCCUUUGCUCAGUGGGAGUUUGCUGAGGGCCCACUGUGUGCGGGCGCUUUCCAGGGUGCUAGGCACAGAGGAGCAGCUGGCAGACUUACAUUCGUAGAGCACACUCGGGUGCCUCUGCUGCGCCUCCCUGCACCUCCCCUUCCUUCCCUUCCCUCAAGGCUGGUCACCUAUGGCCUCCACGACCAAUGUCUCCCUGCUCCUUGGUCAUUGGGAAGAUCAUCCUGAAGCAUCGCCGUCAGGAUCUCUGCAAAAUGAGUGAGCUGAGUCUGAAGCUCAGGGUGACUGACUGUCCUGAGCCCCAGAGCAAGAAAACAGGAGCAUCUCUGCCUCCCGGCCCUGUGCAUUUUCUCCGGUGACCUGAGGCCUCUCAGUUCCUCCCACUGCCCCUAGUCUGAUUCGCAUCCUGCCCUUCUGCUGCUCAGGAAGCAGCUCUGGCUCCCCAGCGAUCAGAUCCAAGUGCCUACACCUGGUUUCAAGGCCCAUCACAGGCCACAGCUUGGAAUCAUUCUCCCCCUCCUGGAUUUCCUGCAUUUCCCAGACUUUCCAUCAACCCAGCUGGGCUCCUCUCUGCCUCUCAUCCUCCCUGCCUCCCUGCUUGGAUGCAAGCUGUCUCCCUGCACAGCACCCCUUAUAUAGAGUGGAUAGCACAGGGAGGAAUGGAGGCAUGCCAUGCCUGGGGUCCCUCCAAACCCCCAUGCCUGGCAUCACUCCCUCAGCCCCUGCCAGGUCUCCUUCUCCAGGAAGCCUCCCUGCC
rnacentral:lncRNA from 10 species